AGCGAAUCGUGACUGAUUGUCUGUUUCAAUGCUAGCGGUCGCGCGGAGCGCACGUGAGACUAUCGUCUUUAUCUUUUUUUGCUAUUUAAAGGCAAAAUAAAGAUGAAUAAACACCAAAAGGUGGGCGUGUCGAGUGCGUUUGGAGCGCGACCUGAUUGGCUGUUUGAGCUGAGCUGUUUUGACUGCUCCAUACGAAAGAGCCAAGAAAGUCUGAAGAAAGCGAAAAGGCCGCUGGUAGGAAAGAAUGAGCGCAGAUGAGUUUAUGAAAUACUGAUGGACACCCUUGCGCCAUCUGCCGGACUUGAUUCAAAGAAACUGACAUCAACCCACCCUGAUGAAUGAAUAAAACUUCUCCAUUAUUAAUCUGAGCCUGGGUGAAACUGUCCACGCUGUCAUCCGGGGACACUUUAAAGGCAACGAUCCCAU